CUGCUUGGCUCUGCAUCUGCAAAUAUUGCCACCCGGCUGCAACGCCACUGAUCAUCGCUCACAGCUUUGCAAUCUGCUCUGGUCUGUGAUGGGCCUGCAAAUGUUAGCAUAUGUUUGUCAGAGAUAAUCAGGCCACCUGUGUGCACGGUGGCUCUGUCGUCUCUUGUUGGAGGGCUUUCCACCUUCCUCUUGGCAUGCGGUGCCUUUUCCACUGCCUCUAGAAAUAACUGACUUGUCUUGGUCGUUUUCUGCGUCUGUUUGCCGUGGUGCUGCCCAGCAGCCCUGCCACCACCCCAAGGCGCUGACCUAAAGGAAUGCUCUUCUUUCUCUCUUCUGUUUCUAUCACACAGCUUCUCUAGAUUUGCUCGUUGCUCUUCUUGCUCUCCUAUGCUGCUCACCUGGUGGCUUUUUCCCCCUUCCUUCUGCACGUUCACAAUAUGUUAUCUGUGUGGGUAGGAAGUGGUCUGAGCUGCAGCUCCUCUGCAUCUGCACGUCCCAAAGCUGCUUCUGCAAACCAUUUGGGGUUUUGGUUCUGUCCCACCAUGGCUUGCUGCCACUCUGGUCUCCCCAACAGGAACUUCAGGCUGGCGGUGUCCCCUGUGUCCCGCUCCCAACUUCCAGAGCACAGCCUUCAGCUCCCGCCUGUCACCACAGACACGUCUGUGCUAAGCAUGGGGAAAUGUUCUGUUUUGCAUACUUGCUUGCUCUGAACGUGGGGGGAAGGAUCCUUGUCUUUGAGCCAUGUGUUCCAACCCUUCCUUCACGUUCUGUUUCUCAGUGUGUGCAUACCAGAGCGGCAGGACGGGUGCUCACAGCCUCCCUGUAUCACCGAGGACAGCUGGACACCCAUCUCCUGGCACCCACCUCCCAGCCCUCCUGCUGCAGGCAGCUCCAGCAGAUGUUCCCCUCUGCCUGCCCUGCAGGCUGCAGAGCGGUGCCUGGCACACCCCAGUGAGGGAUCCCCCCACCACCCAGUUCCUCCACAGCAAAACUGUAGUUAUUUUCACACUUGUGAAACCAGCCUUGCUUCUUGCAGGUCCGGCAGCCCGCAGGUAGGAUGCUGGUUUAGCCUUGUUGCCAUCACUUGCGUGCUCCUUCUCACAGCUUCCUGCUUUUCACUCGGUUUGGGUUUUGCGAACACUUCCCUGUCCUGUUCCACUGCUGUGGUGUCACCCUGUCCUCCCACCCUUACCCUAACCCCUCUGCGUGCCUCCUGCUGUCUCUUGCCACGUUCUAGCGUUGCCUUCAUUCCUGUUACACUGCUAAGCCUGUUGCAGCCUGGUGAGGGGUUCCCCCGACCUUCAGAGGAGUGCAGUCACUUCAGUGCUGUACUGUGCAGAGCAGCUCCCUCACAAGUAAGCAGCAUACGGUGAGAACAUCCUGCAGCUACUUCUUUUCAGGCCAGCAUUGCGCAACAUCGUGUCACUGAUUAACACAGAUAGGAGUAAAUGCAUUUUCAUAAAUGCAAAGCACCGUUGUUCAUUUAAAGGAAAGAAGGAGUCAUGGGGUGAUGUGACAUCCCUGUGUGUCAUCGGUAGUUCUGUUGUGUGCCUGCAGUUGCAGUGGAACCAGUUCAGCUGGAAUGAUGCUGGUCAUCCAUGGCUGAGGAUUUGGUUCCUGAGUGCAUGGAUGGUCCCACCCAGUUCUGCCCAUGCUGUAAACAGCAGGAAAAGCUGCAAGAAAGAUGUACUUUGUGGAAACACAGAGGAAUGGCAUACACCUCAGCCUUUUGAAGUCUGUUGGCUUGUUUCUAGUUCACUAAAAAGGAGGUAAACAAUGACUUCGUUUCUUGAAAGAAAGGAGAGGGCUGGUAGGAGACUGGGCAUGGAUGGAGGCAGUGCUGGCACCCCUGGGCAGGGAAGGCAGGGUGGUAGCAAUGGGGGAGGAAAAGAAGCAGUGUGGCAUUAGAUGUGAUGUCUUGAGAGGUUUCUCAGCCUCCCUGCAUCCGGUCAGCUCAGCCAGGCUCCUACAUCUCUGCAGACACGUGCACCAGCUGCAGGAUUUCAUAAGUUGGUGGCAGUGCUGCCAACCCAAAUAAUCCUUCAGUGAGCCCUUUGUGUUACAGCACAGAGCAGUGAGAGUAUCUCUGUUUGCAUAUCACCGAUGGCAGCUGCCGACAGCUGGACAAAGUGCCAUCACUGCCACAGCACAGAGCCAUUCCCCCUCCUGUGGAAGAUGUGUACCCAAGAAUCUUCAGAAGAUGGCCACCGACUUUGUUGUCCCAAAGGAACGUUAUCCCAAAAGAUGUGGGUACCACUAACCCUGCUAGUCUGAAGAACUGUGGAUGUGUGGGAAAUAAAACAUAGCCCUGCAAGGAAGCGUUUCUUGCCACGGGCCUGGGCUGGAGAACGCUUCUCUCGUCCAAGGGAAUCCCUCCUGCUCAUCCCUGAGCUCCCAGGCUGCUGGCUGUGACCCAGGGACGAUCUCCUCCUCCAGCAGUGUGGCUGUGGGACGUCUGGCCUUCAGGAAAUGAGCUUGUAAAGAAUUAACUGCAGGUCCUUGUGGAGAAAUACGGGUCCUCAUGGAGAAGUACAUCCUCCGUGUCCCUGCGUGCUCCUGACAGCUUGCCCAGGAACACCUGAGCUGUGCUCAGUGUUAGCCCAGCCACUUUACAGCUUGCAGCGUGGACAGGACUGGAGUUUUCUUCCAGCAAGAUGCUGCUGCUGCUGCAGCAGAUAUUUAAAGAUGUUGCGGUUGCACUGUGAACUUAACCUCCCGACAAAGUGGUUUUCAGCUGCUGGCAGGUUCUGUAGCAGCAGCAAAGGCCUCAUGUUCCCCACAUGCUGUAGUGCAGCCUGUGGGACUCCAAGAGCUGCCUUUUCAUCAGGAGAGGAUGUCCUUGUUUGCUGGGUUAUCAGGGCUGAUGGGCUUUUCUGGCCUUAAGCGAGGUGAUCACAAGAGGCUGGGGGAGAUAAGUCAUUCACAUAGUCUGGUUUUGUUAAGCUUUAAAGUAUACAGGUUCCUCUUUGCCCAUUUUCUUUCCCAUUUUCUACUUGCAAGGAGCCAAAGCCAGCGGCAGCAUACAUCGCCCUGUUGGGAUGCCGUUCACAGGGAUUGUCUGGGUGUUAAUUGCCUAGAUGUGGACACUCACCUGUGUGAAGACAACAAAGGAAAUGAUGACUGCAGCUGGACGUGCACUGGUUUUACAUGAACUGAAGCAUGGCAUGAGAAGCAAGGCUGGGGCUGCUCUCACCUGCCUGCUGCUGAAUGCAUUCCUCUGCUGAGCUGCCAGCAAGCCCAGUUCCAGCCCUCAUUCUGCUCCAACUGACAGGAGUAAGGUGCCAGCCUGCACCCACCACCUGCGAGGGCAGAAGGUGAGGAAAAUGUGUCUGACAGGCUCUGUGCUGAGCCCUUCCCUAGGCAGAAUCCUGGCCUCGAGUGAGAUUUUAUUUCCUUGUGCUGCAACCCAGUGACACAGAAUUUUCCAGCAAAAAACAAAAAGGGAUCCGCCUUUUAUUUUUGAUUUAGCUGGGGCUGUGUGUAGACUUGCAUGUGUAAUGUUGACUGCAAGUGCAAUUUGAGACAACCGAACCUUCCUAGCUGUUGCUGGGUAUAUGCAGUGUGCCAGCAGAGAUUAAAGAUCCUCCCCAUGGCUGUUGCUGCCCAGGGUCUGCCAUUUCUCCACCCAUUAAAUGUGCCACAUUUUUUAUUGAAUGCUUACACCACAACACUGAGAGGAAACAAAUACAAAACGGGCACAAUGAAUCAUGGCUCUCAUAGCCUCCGUUGGCCCCAGGAGGUGGAUCAGGCUGGCCAAGGAGGAAACGCAUUGGCUUAACUGCUGUUUUUUCUUCACUUUUGCCCAGAAAGUGUACCCAUGGGAAUGCGGACAGUAGGAAGCAUCUUGUUCUUAUGAGAUCCAGGAUGCAGCAGGGAGCUGGCACCGUGCCUGGGACAAACUCUGUUUCUUUAGGGCAAAAACUCAGCCAUUGGGGUACAUGAGUCAACAGUGGCAGCCUCCUAUGGGAGCAGUGUGGGACAUGGAGGCUAUGGGAGAUGUGUGGAUGUGCCGUGCCAGCAGGGAUGGUGGAGCUCGGUGUUGUGACCCACGGGGACAAGCUGGGCGGACUGGCGCUGCCAAAUGCAGAGGGAAGCAAGGGAGGUGAAUAAAGCUUUCAGUAUAUAACAGACUGCCACAGUGUACAACAAUAAACUGCUCUUCGUGCCCUUUGGGGACAGAGAAGAAAUUACACUAACAGAGAUUUUGGAAAGACGGUGGGAGAAGCUCUCCAAGCGCAGGGUGAUUCAGCCCUGGCAAAGGCGCGGGUUGCGACGUGCCCAUCAGCGGCUGCUGGCAGGGCUGGGCUGCGCGGGGCAGCGAGGGUGGACAAGGGGGAUUUGGGGUGGGAGGGUCUUCCGAACUCCCGUUUCCGUAGCUGCUUUCGCUGCCCUGAGGCCAGACCCUUCAGGAGAGGUUUCCUGCUGUUGCACGAAGUGCGGCCACCUGUGCAGGUCCACGCGGUGGCAGCUCGGUGUUCCUCGAGCUGUGAAAGCUUUGAACAAAGGAAUUGAAGAUAGGACUGAAUAUAAACAGGACUCGGGACCACCUCGAUAUGUCUCCCCAAGGAGUUCUCGAGGAAGGUUUUGGAGUUCGCUAAGAGCACGUUCCUCUUCCAGCAGGGCAGAUAAAGGAGCGCCUGCUCCCCCGCGGUCACCCUGCCAUUGCUGCGCUGCUGCGGCGCGGGAGGACGGCCCCAACAAAGGGCUGGCACGGCUUUGUUCCGCUAAGGCGCGCGGCACAAGGUAGGGAUGGAGCCAGGCGAGGCAGCUCCCUGCAUCCCCCGCAGCCGUCCCGGCUGCCCCCGGGCAGGGUGGGGAAGGUGGGUGAGGUUACCCGCGGAGCGGAUCGCUUCCGUUCAUCUUCCCGUUCUGUAACGCUUCCAAGAACCGAGGAAGGCUUCGCUCUUCCUUGGGUGGUCCCCUUCCUUCCACUGGCAGCGUGGGGUGGAAGUCUGGGAGCGGCGGGAGGGGGGUGAGCG
ensembl:lncRNA